rnacentral:tRNA from 1 species
ACACUGGUGGUUCAGUGGUAGAAUUCUCGCCUUCCAUGCAGGAGACCCAGGUUUGAUUCCUGGCCAAUGCA